rnacentral:ncRNA from 1 species
AAAGUUAAAGAUUGCUUUUAUAGAUGUAAAAUUUGAUUAUGGUUUGUAAAGUUUUAAAAUGAUAUUAUUUAAUUUUAAUUUAUUUUGUGGGCAAUAUAAAUUUACCCCGGCAAUGAAUUAUUUGUAUAAUACUUGUUCCAGAAUAAUCGGCUAGGCUAGUUAAAAUUUAUACUUUAUUUUGUUUUAAUUAUAAUUUUUAUUGUUUUGUUUUAACAAUUAUAGGUUAAAUUUUAAUUGUUAUGGGGUUUUGGUUGUAAUUUUAAGGUUUGGGAGACGAAUUAGAUUAGUACCUAAUUAGUCAAAAGUUAAAAGAGCAGAAGUAAAGUUGUAUUUAAACUGAAAGAAUAUUGGCAGAUUUUCUAAAUUAUCUUUGGAGGCUGAGUGAUAAUUGAGAACCCUCAUUUACUACUCUUAGUUUUGUCUCAUGUAUGAUCGUUUAUUUUAUGGUUAAAGCAUAUAAUGAAAAAUUUUUAUUUGGUAAAAUAGAUAUAUAUUUGGUUUAUUUAAGAGUGAUAUUUGGCCUACAAUAAUUAGGGUUGUGGAUCUGCACUGUAGUGGUGUGGUGAAAAUGUAAAAGACAGUAAAAAAAUUUUUAUGUUUUUUUGAAGAUUAUUUAGAUGUGGUACAAAUCAUCCAUCAAUUGUCCAAAGGGGAGUAAGUUGUAGUAAAGUAGAUUUAGGGGAACCUGAAUCUAGUAAUG